ACUAUUUUGGCAGAUAAAUGCCAUAAAUUUAGAAUUUAUUUAUAUAAUAUUUUAUUAUAAAUAGUA
rnacentral:tRNA from 1 species